rnacentral:tRNA from 1 species
UAGCUCAGAUGGUAGAGAAUCUGCCUGCAAUGCAGGAGACCUGGGUUUGAUUCCUGG